CCCAGGUGCCCCAUUUAAGAUAUAUUUUGAUGAAAGAAGUUCUUAUUUUUAAUAUAGUCUAAUAUGUCAGUCUUUUGUUUUAUGGACCUCAAGUACAAUGCUGGAAAGAAGAAUUGCAGACAUUUUUGUCUUGUUCCUGAUUUUUAAAGGGAUGCUUCUAACAUUUCACCUUGAAGAAUGAUGUUUCAAGAAUGAUGUUUGCUGUAAUUAUUUGAUUCGUCACUGUGGCUAGGUAGAGGUCAAUCAUAUCCAGUUUAGAAGGCUACCAAAUGGGCUUUCCAUCCCUAGCAUCCGUGCACUGAUGCCUGAGUACCAACCACAGUAGAGGCCAGUGGUAGAGGUCAACGGUAGCCUGGAAGAAGACCUGACUGGUUGUUAAUUCACAUCCCCUUUCUCCCACUCAAAACUUACUUUGUCUAAGAAGCUCUUCUUGAUUAUCAGCCUGUGAUCUACCUUGAGGCUGGGAACCACAUCAUUUCGUCUCUCUCUCCCUAGGGCCUGGCACAAUGCCUACAGAGUCGUUGCUCAUAAACUUCUGUGAAACGAGUUCACCCAACCCAAUUCUGAGCUCUUCUUGGCUCAGUUGACCUGAUUUUAAAAACUGUUUCUUCAAAAUGGUCUUGAGCCUUUUUUUGCACACAUUACAUGCAUAUUCUCUGUCUCACAGGACAGAGAGUGGUUGAUUUGCAGAUGCGAAUUGUGCCUACAAGGAAUUUCUUUUGACUUUCCAAUUUCAGAACCUGCCCUGCACUAGCGCCAAGUCCCUUCGGAGUCUUGUCCCAUCUGUCUGUUCAUCCACGUUCCUCCUCACAUGUUGGAAACUCUAAGUAGGCCUCACUCCUUACGGUUUCCAAGUGGGCCAUGCUCCAUGCUUCUGAGCCAGACCUUUGCUCAUGCCGUGACCUUUGCCCAGCAUGCCUGCUCUCCAACCCUUCUUUCCGUGAACCCCUUAGUCUUUCACACCGUACUCAGUUGUCAAAUCCUUGGUGAAGCCUCUUUCCGCUCUCCCCCUUCUCUUCCUCACCCCCUUAGGGUCAGUCUUCCAUCCUCUAUGCUCUUCAGAUGUUGUAUAUGU